UCCACAGUCUACACGUUCUGAUUUCUGCUU
rnacentral:piRNA from 1 species